rnacentral:rRNA from 1 species
GGCGAGGGCUCAGGGUCUGGCUUCGGUCAGUACUCUGAUGUCCGAGUCUUUUUUCUGGGGAGCCAUGGUGCCAUUUACUUGGUGCUGUGGGGAACCAGGACGAUUACCUUGAGAAAAAUAGAGUGUUUAAAGCAGGCAUAUGCUUGAAUACAUUAGCAUGGAAUAAUAAAAUAGGACUUUGGUUCUAUUUUGUUGGUUUUAAGGACCAAUAUC